rnacentral:rRNA from 1 species
UACAGAGGUCUCGAGCGUUGUUCGGAUUCAUUGGGCGUAAAGGGUGCGUAGGUGGCUAGGUAAGUCGGAUGUGAAAUCUCGGGGCUCAACCCCGAAACUGCAUUCGAUACUGCCUGGCUAGAGUACUGGAGAGGAGAUUGGAAUUUACGGUGUAGCAGUGAAAUGCGUAGAUAUCGUAAGGAAGACCAGUGGCGAAGGCGGAUCUCUGGACAGUUACUGACACUGAGGC